GACGAACGCUGGCGGCGUGCUUAACACAUGCAAGUCGAACGGAAAGGCCCUGCUUUUGUGGGGUGCUCGAGUGGCGAACGGGUGAGUAACACGUGAGUAACCCGCCCUUGACUUUGGGAUAACUUCAGGAAACUGGGGCUAAUACCGGAUAGGAGCUCCUGCUGCAUGGUGGGGGUUGGAAAGUUUCGGCGGUUGGGGAUGGACUCGCGGCUUAUCAGCUUGUUGGUGGGGUAGUGGCUUACCAAGGCUUUGACGGGUAGCCGGCCUGAGAGGGUGACCGGCCACAUUGGGACUGAGAUACGGAGCAGACUCCUACGGGAGGCAGCAGGCGGGAAUAUGGCACAAUGGGCGGAAGCCUGAUGCAGCGACGCCGCGUGCGGGAUGACGGCCUUCGGGUUGUAAACCGCUUUCGCCUGUGACGAAGCGUGAGUGACGGUAAUGGGUAAAGAAGCACCGGCUAACUACGUG
rnacentral:rRNA from 1 species